CACUCAAAUAGACAUCCCUCUAGUCAUUCUAGUGGCGCAUGAUCCAAAUCCACUAACUCAAGUUCGAUCAUCACGUGAGUUGAGAUUAGUUUCAAUGGUGAACAUCUCCAUGUUGAUCAUAUCAACUAUAUGAUUCAUGCUCGACCUUUUGGUCUCUUGUGUUCCAAGGCCAUGUCUGUACAUGCUAGGCUCGUCAAGUUUAACCAGAGUGUUCUGUGUGUGCAACUGUUUUACACCUGUUGUAUGUGAACGUUGAGUCUAUCACACCCGAUCAUCACGUGGUGUCUCGAAAUGACGAACUGUCGCAACGGUGCACAGUCGGGGAGAACACAAUUUUAUCUUGAAAUUUAGUGAGGGAUCA
rnacentral:lncRNA from 1 species